UACAGGGGGGGCAAGCGUUGUUCGGAAUUACUGGGCGUAAAGGGCCAGUAGGCGGCCAACUAAGUCCGACGUGAAAUCCCCAGGCUUAACCUGGGAACUGCGUCGGAUACUGGAUGGCUUGAAUUCGGGAGAGGGAUGCAGAAUUCCAGGUGUAGCGGUGAAAUGCGUAGAUAUCUGGAGGAAUACCGGUGGCGAAGGCGGCAUCCUGGACCGAUACUGACACUGAGGAGCGAAAGCGUGGGGAGCGAACAGG
rnacentral:rRNA from 1 species